GCCAAAGUUAAGAAGAACAUUUUUGUUUUAGGAUACAUCACAUUUGACGAUAGCUAUUUGCUCUCAUAUGACAGAGAAGCACUGCCCACACUGAUGGUGGACCCACCAGAUUGUAACACCACUGAAUCAUCGAGGACGGAGGAGGAGGCCCACAAAAUCUGGAGCAAAUGGCGUAGACUCCCGUCAACCACCUGGAAACCCAGAGAUGGUGAAGUCUCGGAGGAUUCACUGGCACGACGGCUGUGUUCAGAACUGAACACGGUCACUGACAACGACAGUGUCCCAAUCCUCCGCAGAGAUGAAGGCUUAUCUGUCUUGAAUAGAGUGCUGACAUCCAACCUACCUGCAGAGAGAGAGCUGAGGGACUGUCAGAGCUGCAGUUCAGCCGGUUCAGUGACAACAGGAAAGAGGGCGCUGUCUGCCAUAGGGUUCACACUGCAAGUUUCCAGAGA
rnacentral:lncRNA from 1 species